CGCUGGCGGCGUGCUUAACACAUGCAAGUCGAACGAGAAGAGAUGAGAAGCUUGGCUUCUUAUCAAUUCGAGUGGACAACGGGUGAGUAACGCGUAAGCAACCUCGCCCUUCAGAUGGGGACAACAGCUGGAAACGGCUGCUAAUACCGAAUACGUUCUUUUUGUCGCAUGGCAGAGGGAAGAAAGGGAGGCUCUUCGGAGCUUUCGCUGAAGGAGGGGCUUGCGUCUGAUUAGCUAGUUGGAGGGGUAACGGCCCACCAAGGCGACGAUCAGUAGCCGGUCUGAGAGGAUGAACGGCCACAUUGGGACUGAGACACGGCCCAGACUCCUACGGGAGGCAGCAGUGGGGAAUCUUCCGCAAUGGACGAAAGUCUGACGGAGCAACGCCGCGUGAACGAUGACGGCCUUCGGGUUGUAAAGUUCUGUUAUACGGGACGAAUGGCGUAGCGGUCAAUACCCGUUACGAGUGACGGUACCGUAAGAGAAAGCCACGGCUAACUACGUG
rnacentral:rRNA from 1 species